rnacentral:rRNA from 1 species
GCAAGUCGAGGGCAUCGGGAGUAGCUGCUAACGUUGCCGGCGACCGGCGCACGGGUGAGUAACGCGUAUCCAACCUUCCCUAUAGUAGAGGAUAGCCCGGAGAAAUUCGGAUUAAUACUCUAUGUUCUUCCAUGCGGACAUCUAAUUGGAAGCAAAGGUUCACCGCUAUAGGAUGGGGAUGCGUCUGAUUAGAUAGUAGGCGGGGUAACGGCCCACCUAGUCGACGAUCAGUAGGGUUCUGAGAGGAAGGUCCCCCACAUUGGAACUGAGACACGGUCCAAACUCCUACGGGAGGCAGCAGUGAGGAAUAUUGGUCAAUGGGCGCGAGCCUGAACCAGCCAAGUAGGCCGUGCAGGAUGACCGGCCCUAUGGGUUGUAAACUGCUUUUAUACGGGAUAAAGUGUACCACGUGUGGUGUUUUGUAGGUACCGUAUGAAUAAGGACCGGCUAAUUCCGUGCCAGCAGCUGC